CAGUCGCCACGGUAAUACGUAGGUGGCAAGCGUUGUCCGGAAUUAUUGGGCGUAAAGCGCGCGCAGGUGGUUUAAUAAGUCUGAUGUGAAAGCCCACGGCUCAACCGUGGAGGGUCAUUGGAAACUGUUAAACUUGAGUGCAGGAGAGAAAAGUGGAAUUCCUAGUGUAGCGGUGAAAUGCGUAGAGAUUAGGAGGAACACCAGUGGCGAAGGCGGCUUUUUGGCCUGUAACUGACACUGAGGCGCGAAAGCGUGGGGAGCAAACAGGAUUAGAGACCCCUGUAGUCCCUGUCUCUUAUAC
rnacentral:rRNA from 1 species